rnacentral:rRNA from 1 species
GCUACUGGGGGGGCGGCAGCAGUGGUAAGGCGAAGGGGGCUAGCAUUUGUCGGAAUUACUGGGCGUAAAGGGAGCGUAGGCGGGUGAUCAAGUUGGGGGUGAAAGCCCGGGGCGCAACCUCGGAAUUGCCUUCAAAACUGAUAACCUGGAGUAUGGAAGAGGUAAGUGGAACUCCGAGUGUAGAGGUGAAAUUCGUAGAUAUUCGGAAGAACACCAGUGGCGAAGGCGACUUACUGGUCCAUUACUGACGCUGAGGCUCGAAAGCGUGGGGAGCAAACAGGAUUAGAUACCCUUGUAGUC